rnacentral:rRNA from 1 species
GAAUCUGCCCUCAGGAGGGGGACAACAGCUGGAAACGGCUGCUAAUACCCCAUAUGCCGCGAGGUGAAAUGAAUUUCGCCUGAGGAUGAGCUCGCGUCUGAUUAGCUAGUUGGUGUAGGUAAUGGCUCACCAAGGCAUCGAUCAGUAGCUGGUCUGAGAGGAUGAUCAGCCGCACUGGGACUGAGACACGGCCCAGACUUCUACGGGAGGCAGCAGUGGGGAAUUUUCCGCAAUGGGCGAAAGCCUGACGGAGCAACGCCGCGUGAGGGAUGAAGGCCUCUGGGCUGUAAACCUCUUUUAUCAAGGAAGAAGAUCUGACGGUACUUGAUGAAUAAGCCACGGCUAAUUCCGUGCCAGCAGCCGCGGUAAUACGGGAGUGGCAAGCGUUAUCCGGAAUUAUUGGGCGUAAAGCGUCCGCAGGCGGCCCUUCAAGUCUGCUGUUAAAAAGUGGAGCUUAACUCCAUCAUGGCAGUGGAAACUGUUGGGCUUGAGUGUGGUAGGGGCAGAGGGAAUUCCCGGUGUAGCGGUGAAAUGCGUAGAUAUCGGGAAGAACACCAGUGGCGAAGGCGCUCUGCUGGGCCAUCACUGACGCUCAUGGACGAAAGCCAGGGGAGCGAAAGGGAUUAGAUAUCCCUGUAGUCCUGGCCGUAAACGAUGAACACUAGGUGUCGGGGGAAUCGACCCCCUCGGUGUCGUAGCCAACGCGUUAAGUGUUCCGCCUGGGGAGUACGCACGCAAGUGUGAAACUCAAAGGAAUUGACGGGGGCCCGCACAAGCGGUGGAGUAUGUGGUUUAAUUCGAUGCAACGCGAAGAACCUUACCAGGGUUUGACAUCCUGCGAAUCUCUUGGAAACAGGAGAGUGCCUUCGGGAACGCAGUGACAGGUGGUGCAUGGCUGUCGUCAGCUCGUGUCGUGAGAUGUUGGGUUAAGUCCCGCAACGAGCGCAACCCACGUCUUUAGUUGCCAGCAUUUAGUUGGGCACUCUAGAGAGACUGCCGGUGAUAAACCGGAGGAAGGUGUGGAUGACGUCAAGUCAUCAUGCCCCUUACAUCCUGGGCUACACACGUACUACAAUGCUACGGACAAAGGGCAGCAAGUUCGCGAGGACAAGCAAAUCCCAUAAAACCGUGGCUCAGUUCAGAUCGUAG